UGCAGCUUGUAUUAAAUUCUUUGCAUUCCCUCACACAAAUCAGUAGUCAGAGGGGUGAACUGUGACCUCCAUGUGAAUAUUCUAUUUGAGCUCUUGCCAUUCUGACAGUAGCAAAUAGGGAAAACACUACUUUAAAUAGAAAAGAACUUGAGAUGUAUCCUCCUACUUUGAACCAUUUUCCAUCCCACAUUUUGAUAGUCAAUGUGAAUUCAAGAGUAUAGUUUUGCUUUUGAGUCCAAAUUGGAAAUAAUUUGGGUUUUUUUUACCUCUGGUUUAGAUGUAGUUAAAGACAGCAGAACCAGCAGUGCCUUACUGUUAGGAGUUCUGCCAACUAUGGGAUCAAUCCAUAGUUAAGCAACCAAUGCAAUUCUGAACCACUAACAAAAAUAAUUUCCUAUAAAAUAUAUUAAUAUGUUUUAAACCCUAAGUAUUUCAAUUAAAAAGAAAAAAAAAAGCAACAACAAAAGGAAGAAAACAAAGGCUUGUAUAUCCAUGGUUAGAUAGCCAUAAAGGAAUAUAAAUUCAUCAGAGAAUUUUGGUACUUGAGGCACAGCUCACAUUGGAAUGUCAGCUAAAUCAUCAGCAUUUAGAACCAGCCUGAACAUGACAUUUAUGCUGUGUUUUUAUGAGCAGGGCUGGUUGUAAGUAGCAAUAAAGUAUUGUCUCUUCCAGCACCUAUGGUGACACUUCUUCGCAGGGCAUUCUUGGAGAGAGGAGGAGCCAGAGGAAGACACACUGCAGCUAUCCCAGAAUAAGUUUCAGAGAGAUUAAAAGAAAAAAAAAAAACCCAGAAUCAAAUCAAUGAAAAUGCAGGCAGAGCCAGGUGUGGUAAGGUACAAAGCUAUUAAGACAUGGCCUGCAAAUCCAGAUCACCACUGAAAUACCAUAAGAAACCUGGAUGGAGUGGUGAAGCUGGCACUGCAGAUUUACCCCACUGAAGUUCCUCA
rnacentral:lncRNA from 1 species